UACAUUUAACUUAUGUAUUAUAUAUAUAUAUAUAUAUAUUUUUUUUUUUGAAAUGAUUUUUUUUUUAGACAUAGAAUUUUUUAAAACAGAAAGAGUAUAAAAUUGUUAAAUAUGUUAAACUUAGGACAUGGUUGAAAAUUGAAAUUGAAGCUAUAUAAAUAUCUAAGGUUUGUAAAUAGUAACUUCUACAGAAUGUGAGUUUAUUUUGAGUUGGUCUUGUGCAGAAAAGCAAAGAGUAGACUUUGAAAUUACAAAAUUGCUAAAAUAAGAUAUUAGAGAUCUUUAGAAUCCCCUGCGUAAGGGGGGCCAUUAUCAAUUAGAUAUGCAUGGAUCCUUCUUCCCUACCUUACCCUUUAUAAAAUUGGAUACUUAAUUGCCUCGCCUUUUCUGCUGCCUAUGUAGUACUCCCGUUUUUUUAAUAUACGUCGUUUUAAAAAAAAAAUUAUGUUCCAAAUUAUAAGACGUUUUCGAUUUUUUUAUGUAAAAUUUAUUAACAUUUAAUGUUAUAUAACCAAUAAUAAUAUAUAUUUUAUUUUAUUAUUGGUUGAUUUGUAGUUAGGUAAAUAGCUAAUGAUGUUUUUGUUUAGAAAAUAUAAAAAAAUAAUGAUUUUUUAAUCUA
rnacentral:lncRNA from 1 species